rnacentral:rRNA from 1 species
GUAGGGGGCUAGCGUUGUCCGGAUUUAUUGGGCGUAAAGCGCGUGUAGGCGGCCAGGUAGGUCCGCUGUGAAAACUCGAGGCUCAACCUCGAGACGUCGGCGGAAACCAUCUGGCUAGAGUCCGGAAGAGGAGAGUGGAAUUCCUGGUGUAGCGGUGAAAUGCGCAGAUAUCAGGAAGAACACCCGUGGCGAAGGCGGCUCUCUGGGACGGUACUGACGCUGAGACGCGAAAGCGUGGGGAGCGAACAGGAUUAGAUACCCUGGUAGUCCACGCCGUAAACGAUGGGUGCUAGGUGUGGGCGGUGUCGACUCCGUCCGUGCCGAAGCUAACGCAUUAAGCACCCCGCCUGGGGAGUACGGCCGCAAGGCUAAA